GCAAAAGAAGGGAGAAAGGAGAAGAAGAAGAAGAGCAAGGGAGAAGGAAGCAAGGGAGCAAGGAAGGUCACCUACCCAUUAAAGAUGUUGAUUCAGAGAACCAUCUCGAGAGUGCUGUUGAGGAGCUGGGUCCUUAUGGAGACAAUAUUUGGGUUGAGGAGUUGGUCACACACAAGGAUGGUUGCGUGAUGACUGUGCCUUCGGGGCACUCUGAAGAUGAUGUUAUCAUUUUCGCUUUUUGUUUAUUUUGGUAUAUAUAAUGGAUGUACCCUAAGGGGUGAUUACUUGUAAUUAUGUUCAGGCAAGUUAAACUUUCUUUUGUAUAAAUAUAGUAUUAUCACAAGAAGUUCACCAGUGGUAUUAUUCUAUUGACUAUUAAAUACUUGUGGUUUUAGUUUAUUGUGACAUUAAAGUAUUGUAUUGAAGAUCCUUGAUGGAUUGUGGAUACAAUUGUGUGU